AUGGCAAAACAAAUCGAUGUUGAUGAGCUAGGUAAGCUGGUCCGCAGGAAGAAGGUAGCACCCCUUACAGCACUAGAUUUGUGGAGAUUCAACAUGAUGAGCCAAAAGGACAUCCUCUUCUCCGAACCUUUGGUGCAAGGAAUGUGUAGUGAUCUUCAUAAAGCUUGCAAGGUAACAUCUCCACCUCACCUGCAAGAUAACAGGAGAAAGAGAACGCCGAGUGUGAUACAGAAGAAGAGAGGAAUCAUACUCGACGAUGAAGAAAUGCUCUCCAUUGCCUAUAUGGCGAAACAAAUUGAUGGCGAUGAGCUAGGUGAGCUGGUCUGCACGAAGAAGAUAGCACCCCUUACAGCACUGGAAAUGUGGAGAUUCAACAUGAUGAGCCAAAAGGACAGUUUCUUCUCCGAACCUUUGGUGCAAGGAAUGUGUGCUGACCUCCAUAAAAGCUUGCUCGGGGGCCUACCCUCGUUUGAGUGA
rnacentral:rRNA from 1 species